UCGGAUGCUCAACCGACUGAGCCUCCCCACCGCCCCCCCAAGGCGUCCCCAGGCCUGAGGAUUACCGGAUCUGCUCUACAUCACCCGGUCCAAACAGAAGAGGACCUUGCCCCGCCCCCUGCCCUGGCCGCAGAACCUUCUCGCUUGCUCCGGUCCUCACUCGAAACUCUCGCCUCCUGUAUUUCUUUACAACGACCCCCAAUUUUUUUACCUGCACGAUCCCAACCUCACGCUUAGCAGUGGUGUCUGGGAUGGACUGAUUGUAUUUCUCCUUGUGUACAGCCGUCCCCCGCCCCUUAUCCUUGGGGCACACCUGCCAAGACCCCCAGGGGACGCCUGAGACCAGCUGGUUCUGAGCCCCACCCAGACUGAAUAUCUUAAUUGUCCUGUGCUCCCCCCCCUCCCCCAAAUCUUGUGACGAUGUGAGACGAUGAGAUGCCCCCGUGGUGAGGUGACGUGCGUACCUGACGGAG